UUAUUGUGAGUCUUUGCCGAGAGCUUCUGAAUGAGGUUCUGUUAUGAAAUUCGAUUGGGCAUUCAGUUCAGGUAGAGGUUGAUCGAAUUGAGUUUCUUGAAGGUAAAUAGCGCAAAGAAAAAUGGUGAAUCCUUCCCUCGUUAUGCUGCUUCAGGUCUUGAGUUAGGGAGUUUAGAUGGUUGGUGCGGAGUUAUUGCAGUUCGUGAUGGUGUCUGUUAGGAGUGAGGUUGAAGAAAAUGACGAAUGGUUGUGAUUGAGAUGGAGUGGAGAAAAUGUGAGGAAAGGAGAGAGGUUGAAGAAUUUGUGAAUUUUGAAUUAUGGGAAAGAUGAUAG
rnacentral:lncRNA from 1 species